GAUGAACGCUGGCGGCGUGCCUAAUACAUGCAAGUCGAGCGAACAGACGAGGAGCUUGCUCCUUUGACGUUAGCGGCGGACGGGUGAGUAACACGUGGGUAACCUACCUAUAAGACUGGGAUAACUUCGGGAAACCGGAGCUAAUACCGGAUAAUAUUUCGAACCGCAUGGUUCGAUAGUGAAAGAUGGCUUUGCUAUCACUUAUAGAUGGACCUGCGCCGUAUUAGCUAGUUGGUAAGGUAACGGCUUACCAAGGCAACGAUACGUAGCCGACCUGAGAGGGUGAUCGGCCACACUGGAACUGAGACACGGCCCAGACUCCUACGGGAGGCAGCAGUAGGGAAUCUUCCGCAAUGGGCGAAAGCCUGACGGAGCAACGCCGCGUGAGUGAUGAAGGUCUUCGGAUCGUAAAACUCUGUUAUUAGGGAAGAACAAACGUGUAAGUAACUGUGCACGUCUUGACGGUACCUAAUCAGAAAGCCACGGCUAACUACGUGCCAGCAGCCGCGGUAAUACGUAGGUGGCAAGCGUUAUCCGGAAUUAUUGGGCGUAAAGCGCGCGUAGGCGGUUUUUUAAGUCUGAUGUGAAAGCCCACGGCUCAACCGUGGAGGGUCAUUGGAAACUGGAAAACUUGAGUGCAGAAGAGGAAAGUGGAAUUCCAUGUGUAGCGGUGAAAUGCGCAGAGAUAUGGAGGAACACCAGUGGCGAAGGCGACUUUCUGGUCUGUAACUGACGCUGAUGUGCGAAAGCGUGGGGAUCAAACAGGAUUGGAUACCCUGGUAGUCCACGCCGUAAACGAUGAGUGCUAAGUGUUAGGGGGUUUCCGCCCCUUAGUGCUGCAGCUAACGCAUUAAGCACUCCGCCUGGGGAGUACGACCGCAAGGUUGAAACUCAAAGGAAUUGACGGGGACCCGCACAAGCGGUGGAGCAUGUGGUUUAAUUCGAAGCAACGCGAAGAACCUUACCAAAUCUUGACAUCCUUUGCUCCUUCUAGAGAUAGAAGUUUCCCCUUCGGGGGACAAAGUGACAGGUGGUGCAUGGUUGUCGUCAGCUCGUGUCGUGAGAUGUUGGGUUAAGUCCCGCAACGAGCGCAACCCUUAAGCUUAGUUGCCAUCAUUAAGUUGGGCACUCUAAGUUGACUGCCGGUGACAAACCGGAGGAAGGUGGGGAUGACGUCAAAUCAUCAUGCCCCUUAUGAUUUGGGCUACACACGUGCUACAAUGGACAGUACAAAGGGCAGCGAAACCGCGAGGUCAAGCAAAUCCCAUAAAGUUGUUCUCAGUUCGGAUUGUAGUCUGCAACUCGACUACAUGAAGCUGGAAUCGCUAGUAAUCGUAGAUCAGCAUGCUACGGUGAAUACGUUCCCGGGUCU
rnacentral:rRNA from 1 species